UGCUUAAAUUGCUCGGGGCAGUCCACGCGUACACAGCUGAAGUCUUCUUUAGCUACCACAUCACACUGACAGAGAAAAUACGAGCCUGGUUAGGUAGGAAGGUCAGAACAGUCUUAUUCUAGGAGGGCAGCAGUGCUCACAGCCAGAGCCUGUAAACGGCGGGUGAAUUGCACCAGAUGGAAACAAAAAAAUAGCACGGGCUUCACACAGUCGGGAGGAUUCAAUGAGAUUCUAUCAGGUGCCUAGCACAUAGGAGGCACUCCAUAAAGGAGAGCUGCCUCUUGUCCUGUCAGGCUGGAAGCCCCCUGGAUAGUCUAUUCUAGAGGAACGGAGAGCUUCAUAAGAAUUGCUUCUUCGUAGCUGUGAGGCCGUGGGCAUGUGAAGAGCCAGGAAUACGAAACACAAAAAACAUUACGACUACAUGGCACCUCGGGAACGAGGAGGAAAGCCUCAGCCUAACAACGACACGCAGCAGUAAAGUCGGCAGCUUUCCCUUUAAGUAGGGCGGGCCGCCCCGCGGACGGAGCCCUCCGGAAGUCGCUGCGCGCCGCCACGAGAUCAGAUUCCUCCGCCGAGCGCGGCGCCGGGUCCCCCGGCUUCGCCCCUGUCUGCACCAGACUUGCUCCUCUCCCCGCCGCCCGACGGCAACAGGUCUUCCGGCUGCCGCUUCUCCGGCCGAUACUGCCGGUGACCUGCCCGCCGGCGCUCGGGCCUAGGCCUGGCCUGGUCUGCGGAGGCCGCCGCACGCCGCCGGCGGAACCUGGCCCCGAGCCCGCCACGCACUUCCGGCGACGCCAGGCGGGGACUGAGGCGGGCGGGGCGCGGCGCGGCGGCCCUGAUGGACGCGCUGGCGGUCCUGAUGCAGGCUUCCUGACCCAGAACGAUGUCCUGCGCAGGGAGAACACCAGCUCAUGGGCCAGAUUUCCACAAUACUAUCAGCCAGAACUUUCCCCCCAAACAGGAGAUUUGAAAAUAUUCUUCGCCAUGUCUGACUAUGUCAAGAAGGACCUAAAGAUGCUGACAUCAGGUGAUAACCAACAAGCAUCCCAGUCAGAUCACCGGAGAGCAAAGCCCAAACCAACAAGCUCCUCCCAUGGGCUCAGGGAUUCCCAUCAGCUCUUUUAGAAAUGAGAUGGCAAAGAAGUAUCACCAGUCAUCUGAGGAAAAUCUCUAAUAUGAAGAGAGAGACGAAGGCAAACAAACAAAUAGAAAAAAGAAAGUUGGAGGAAACAGAUGAUUGAUGCAGGGAGAAGAACAUUAAACAAGAGACUAUCAUUAGUAUCUUCAGAAAAAGUAGAUUUCGCA
rnacentral:lncRNA from 1 species